GACGAACGCUGGCGGCGUGCCUAAUACAUGCAAGUCGAACGAACUCUGGUAUUGAUUGGUGCUUGCAUCAUGAUUUACAUUUGAGUGAGUGGCGAACUGGUGAGUAACACGUGGGAAACCUGCCCAGAAGCGGGGGAUAACACCUGGAAACAGAUGCUAAUACCGCAUAACAACUUGGACCGCAUGGUCCGAGUUUGAAAGAUGGCUUCGGCUAUCACUUUUGGAUGGUCCCGCGGCGUAUUAGCUAGAUGGUGGGGUAACGGCUCACCAUGGCAAUGAUACGUAGCCGACCUGAGAGGGUAAUCGGCCACAUUGGGACUGAGACACGGCCCAAACUCCUACGGGAGGCAGCAGUAGGGAAUCUUCCACAAUGGACGAAAGUCUGAUGGAGCAACGCCGCGUGAGUGAAGAAGGGUUUCGGCUCGUAAAACUCUGUUGUUAAAGAAGAACAUAUCUGAGAGUAACUGUUCAGGUAUUGACGGUAUUUAACCAGAAAGCCACGGCUAACUACGUGCCAGCAGCCGCGGUAAUACGUAGGUGGCAAGCGUUGUCCGGAUUUAUUGGGCGUAAAGCGAGCGCAGGCGGUUUUUUAAGUCUGAUGUGAAAGCCUUCGGCUCAACCGAAGAAGUGCAUCGGAAACUGGGAAACUUGAGUGCAGAAGAGGACAGUGGAACUCCAUGUGUAGCGGUGAAAUGCGUAGAUAUAUGGAAGAACACCAGUGGCGAAGGCGGCUGUCUGGUCUGUAACUGACGCUGAGGCUCGAAAGUAUGGGUAGCAAACAGGAUUAGAUACCCUGGUAGUCCAUACCGUAAACGAUGAAUGCUAAGUGUUGGAGGGUUUCCGCCCUUCAGUGCUGCAGCUAACGCAUUAAGCAUUCCGCCUGGGGAGUACGGCCGCAAGGCUGAAACUCAAAGGAAUUGACGGGGGCCCGCACAAGCGGUGGAGCAUGUGGUUUAAUUCGAAGCUACGCGAAGAACCUUACCAGGUCUUGACAUACUAUGCAAAUCUAAGAGAUUAGACGUUCCCUUCGGGGACAUGGAUACAGGUGGUGCAUGGUUGUCGUCAGCUCGUGUCGUGAGAUGUUGGGUUAAGUCCCGCAACGAGCGCAACCCUUAUUAUCAGUUGCCAGCAUUAAGUUGGGCACUCUGGUGAGACUGCCGGUGACAAACCGGAGGAAGGUGGGGAUGACGUCAAAUCAUCAUGCCCCUUAUGACCUGGGCUACACACGUGCUACAAUGGAUGGUACAACGAGUUGCGAACUCGCGAGAGUAAGCUAAUCUCUUAAAGCCAUUCUCAGUUCGGAUUGUAGGCUGCAACUCGCCUACAUGAAGUCGGAAUCGCUAGUAAUCGCGGAUCAGCAUGCCGCGGUGAAUACGUUCCCGGGCCUUGUACACACCGCCCGUCACACCAUGAGAGUUUGUAACACCCAAAGUGCGGUGGGGUAACCUUUUAGGAACCAGCCGCCUAAGGUGGGACAGAUGAUUAGGGUGAAG
rnacentral:rRNA from 1 species